rnacentral:lncRNA from 1 species
GCCAGUUCUUGUCCACCUCCUUGUGGAUGUAGACAAUGUCACCCUUCUGCAGAGUCAGCUCCCUGCAGGUGGGGACGAGGACCGCAGGGUUCCCCCGCCACCCCAGGGACCGGAGCCCCCACCCCCACGCUGCUUCCUGCCAGCCUCUGCUAUGGGUCUUCGCCGAAUCAGGCCCUCGGAGCUUCUCAAGGGUCCAGCUCCACCUCCAAGAAUAUUUCCUGAUAAUCCCAGUGCGCACUGACCACUCCCUUUUCUGCUCCUGCUUUGGCCAACACAUAUUUAUUUAACACAUGUUUACUGAGCGCCUCCUGUAUGCCAGCCACUGUCCUGAGUGCUGGCAUUACAGAAAUAAACCAUGUGGGACUGGA